rnacentral:rRNA from 1 species
AGGACGAACGCUGGCGGCGUGCUUAACACAUGCAAGUCGAACGGUAAGGCCCUUCGGGGUACACGAGUGGCGAACGGGUGAGUAACACGUGGGUGAUCUGCCCUGCACUUUGGGAUAAGCCUGGGAAACUGGGUCUAAUACCGAAUAUGACCAUGGGAUGCAUGUUUCGUGGUGGAAAGCUUUUGCGGUGUGGGAUGGGCCCGCGGCCUAUCAGCUUGUUGGUGGGGUUACGGCCUACCAAGGCGACGACGGGUAGCCGGCCUGAGAGGGUGUCCGGCCACACUGGGACUGAGAUACGGCCCAGACUCCUACGGGAGGCAGCAGUGGGGAAUAUUGCACAAUGGGCGAAAGCCUGAUGCAGCGACGCCGCGUGAGGGACGAAGGCCUUCGGGUUGUAAACCGUCUUUCAGCACAGACGAAGCGCAAGUGACGGUAUGUGCAGAAGAAGGACCGGCCAACUACGUGCCAGCAGCCGC